rnacentral:lncRNA from 1 species
GUGAGGGGAGAAAAAGGCAGGAAAGUGUGAGGGGGGAAAAUAGCAGGAAAUGUGAGCGAAUGGUGUGGAGGGAGGUCAUGAGGGGACACCCAUUUUGGAGUGCUCUGAUACAGUUCCAGAUGUUUUCAUUCCAAUUUCAGCGGUGAUUAAGAUGGAAGGGGGUACGGAGCACGACCUGCGGAUCCUGGAGCAGGAGGAGGAGGAGGAGCGGACGGAAAAGGCCGAAGGCCCCAAAAAGGAGGAGCCGCGGCCACCAGAGCCCCCUGGGAAAGGCCCCACAGAGCGCCCCGAUGGCGAUGACAGCACCAAGGCUGAAGGGGCGGAGCCAGGGGCGGAGCCUGCAGCGGGGGCAGGGCCAGAGGAAGAGGAGGAGGGGCCAGACAAGGGGCCCAAGGCUGAGGAUGGUGACAAGGAGGGCGGAGCCAAGGUAAGUGGACACGCCCCCAAAUGACCACACCCCACAAAACUCUGCCCCCACAUUACUGCAGUAACGCUGAUGAGGCCCCGCCCCUUUUCAUUAACCACCCCGACUCAUAACGAGCCACACCCCUUACUAACGAACCACAUCCCUCCCCAAGAGCCCCACCCCAUGGAAAGUACCGCCCCUCUACACAGGCCACACCCCUUUAAAGGCCUCUCCCCUUCAAGCGCCCUGUAGGCUCCUCCCAUCCUCAUUAAAUCACUUUGAGCCCCACCCCUUUCACCCUGGCCACGCCCCCUGACGCCCCCCCCACGCUGUCCCUGCAGGGGCGGCCGCGCCAGCGCAGCCGGGACAGCGAGGACGGGGACAGUGACAGCGGGGACAGCGAGGGGGGGACACGGAGAGCCCCGGGCAAGGACGGUGAGGGGACAGGGAGGGGACACAGAGAGGGGACAGGGGACACAGGGGACAGCGAGGGGGGGACACGGAGAG